rnacentral:rRNA from 1 species
UACGUAGGUGACCAGCGUUGUCCGGAUUUACUGGGCGUAAAGAGCGCGCAGGCGGUCGUUCAAGUCGAGUGUGAAAGCCCCCGGCUCAACUGGGGAGGGUCAUUCGAUACUGCUCGGCUCGAAGACAGGAGAGGGAAGUGGAAUUCCCGGUGUAGUGGUGAAAUGCGUAGAUAUCGGGAGGAACACCAGUGGCGAAGGCGACUUCCUGGCCUGUUCUUGACGCUGAGGCGCGAAAGCUAGGGGAGCAAACGGG